rnacentral:rRNA from 1 species
CAGUCGCCGCGGUAAUACGAAGGGGGCUAGCGUUGUUCGGAAUCACUGGGCGUAAAGGGUGCGUAGGCGGAUUCUUAAGUCAGGGGUGAAAUCCCGAGGCUCAACCUCGGAACUGCCUUUGAUACUGGGGAUCUUGAGUCCGGAAGAGGUGAGUGGAACUGCGAGUGUAGAGGUGAAAUUCGUAGAUAUUCGCAGGAACACCAGUGGCGAAGGCGGCUGACUGGUCCACAACUGACGCUGAGGUGCGAAAGCGUGGGGAGCAAACAGGAUUAGAUACCCCCGUAGUCCCUGUCUCUUAUAC